CCAGACUCCUACGGGAGGCAGCAGUGGGGAAUAUUGGGCAAUGGGCGCAAGCCUGACCCAGCAACGCCGCGUGAAGGAAGAAGGCUUUCGGGUUGUAAACUUCUUUUCUGAGGGACGAAGAAAGUGACGGUACCUCAGGAAUAAGCCACGGCUAACUACGUGCCAGCAGCCGCGGUAAUACGUAGGGGGCAAGCGUUAUCCGGAUUUACUGGGUGUAAAGGGAGCGUAGACGGCAUGGCAAGUCAGAUGUGAAAGCCCGGGGCUCAACCCCGGGACUGCAUUUGAAACUGUCAGGCUGGAGUGCAGGAGAGGUAAGUGGAAUUCCUAGUGUAGCGGUGAAAUGCGUAGAUAUUAGGAGGAACACCGGCGGCGAAGGCGGCCUGCUGGACCGCGACUGACGUUGAGGCUCGAAAGCGUGGGGAGCGAACAGGAUUAGAUACCCCUGUACAA
rnacentral:rRNA from 1 species